GUCCGCUGUCGAGUUUUGAUUUGAUAUAGAAUGACAAGACAUUUCAUCGUUCCUUAUAUAACAAAACAUAAUAUCAGUGCACGUUUUUAUUUUAUUGAUCUUGCUAUAGUGGGAUGUUGCGACUUAAUAUUAUAAAUGUUCGUGUAGUAAUCUUCCCUAACCUUUCCGUACGAAAGGAGAACGUAAACAGAGACGCAUUGGAACAAACGAAACUUGAGAAUGAAGAUAAAGAUGUGUUAUUUGAAAACGUAAAAUGCAUACAACUUGACAAAAAGUCACUUGCUAUUAUUGCUCUUUCAAAACUGUCAUACAGGAAACACUCAUUAAAAUACGAGGUAUGGAAAAAAGGGGGACGUUUUUCUCAACAGAUUCAGGGAUCAUUCGCCCUGAUAUUUAUAAAUUAUAAAUUAGCCGUCAUGUUAAGAAUGUAAAUUACUUGUGUAACAGGAGGAUCGGUUGUCUAUGCGUCACCGUUCCCUCGUGAGUACUUAUGUGAACCUGGAAUCGCCAACAAAAUCCAACACCAACAACCUUUGACCUUAAACCAGUGUAAAUGUAAUUUAUUCCAUUUAUAACCCAAAAUACUGUUAAAGACGGAUGCCUUUAAUAUUGGUCUCAAUGGCAAAUGUAUACCACAAACUUCUGAGUUAGCAAUUCAGGUUUCUCGUUCGUUCCUCUGGGAGAUUGUGUUUUGGUAGAGAAGACUCAAGAUUUAUUAAGUUCAGAUACUUUAUAUAGAAAUAACAUAAAUCAACAUGUAACAAUUAACAAGUGUAAACGAGAUCCAAAAUCAAUAUAAUUAUAUCAAAAAGACAAAGAAAACUAUAAACAGUUUUCUUCAAUUUAACUUCAAUAAAUCGGUACUUUGUUUACAACAAAAGUAGAGCACCAAACAACAAAAUAUGCAAAAAUAAACUUAUUGCUUUCUUUAAAUUGAAUUUAUAUAAAAAGAAGUGUAGCUAUCUAAAUAUUAGUGUUGAAAUAUCGGAACACCCUCUCUACGGAAAGUCGUGUGCACCGCGACACGUGGAUAAAUAUGACUAUUCUAUUUAUAAAUUAACAUCACAAAAUUACUAAAUAAAUCUAGAAUCAGAAGAACACACUGCGGUGAACGAUUGAAAAGUUUUACCAAAUAAAAUUCUACAUUUUUAUCUUAAAUUUAAUCAGUCUACUUAGAAGGGAAACAAUAUUUAAUCAAACUUUAAUCACUGACAAAAUUCUCGGCUAUGUAUAUAGAGAGAGGAGAGAGAAGUAGACCUUACUCAAGUCACUGGCCAAGAGACAAACUUACAAAUGGAAGUUUUUAACGACCUUGACUGGCUCUACAGCCCUUGCACGGUCGGCCAGACAAACUUAACUUCGAAACGGCCGCUUUUAUACCACCGUUGACCAAUCAAAUUAAUUAUUCUAAUUUAUUUUCCUUAACCCAUAAUUAGCCAAUGAAAAUCGCGGUAUCAGACAUCAUUCGGAAUCAGUGCCAAAAUGGAUGACAUAAUAACAUUUGAAGAUUUCCAAAAUGAAAAAUCGGAACUAUCUACUUAAAAACACAAUUUACACCCAAAAAUAUGUAAGACAAAGUUAAACUAGAUGGUAAGUGACAACGUCUCUCCCUCUUAUGUGAACACGAUCUAUAAAAUUUAAAUUAUAUACUAAAAACCGGCAAAAGUUAUUUUUACAGGCAAUUUUAUCAAAACAAUUAAUUUGCAUAAUCCAAUUCCGCUACACUUGAAUUUAAUAUGGGGAAGUUUGUUGCACGUUUCGCCGAUUAAAAAUGAGGUUUUGCUUCUACCAAUCCUCAAUCUUAAGUUAUGGCCAGAAUCAUUGUCAUUGAUUUGAGAGUCUUGUAUGCAGGAAUCUUGGGAGGGGAAUAUAAGGGAGCUACCAUUUGAUUUUUAUGGUGGGCUAGGAUGAAAUUUGAAAAAAAAUUGGCAGGACAGGAGUUUUAAGUUAAAAAAAAAGGCAGGAUGAGACACUUCAUACCCGUAGCCAGGGGGGUUCAGACGACCCCCCCCCCCUUGAAAACAAAUAAGCACUGUUAAAGUCAAUGAUCUGUUCGAAUUGUGUCUGUUAAAGUCGAGUUUGUGAGUGCAACGAACCCCCUUGGAAAUUCCUGGCUACGGGCCUGCACUUGCAAAAAAAAAAAGUCAGGACGACAAUUUAGGUAAAAAAGUCAGGAUAAACUAAAAAAAAAAAAAGGCAGGACCAAACAGAGUGAAAAAUAGAAACACAGGACAGAAAUUACAGCUAAAAAAAAAAAGCAGGACAACAUUUUUCAUCCUCGCCCCCCCCCCCCCCCACCCUCCCCCCUGAAAAUCAAAUGGUAGCUCCCUAAGCCAAUACGGUGUCAGCUUGAAACAGUAUAUCUAAUACAUGUUUAUCUGUUCCUGCUGUCAGAUAGGUCACAUUUUCCAAAAGGCGGAAUCAGGGUGACCAGUCAACACCUUGUGGGAAAAAUUUGGUUGAUUAUACAGUAUUGUACAGGGAAUGACCCUUUUAGGCAGUCAAUGGGCCCCCUCUUAUUUAAAUUUCUAGAUCCGCCACUGUUUUCUAGUUUGAAAAUAUGUGAAUAUAGGUGGUGAAAAUGAUCAGAAAUAUAUUAUAAAUUCGACAAAUUUAAAAAAAAGAAAAUGUGGUACACAGUCACUGUAUGAUUGCCAUUAAGACAACUCUAGUUUCUAGACAGGAGACCAAAUGAAAACAGAAGUUAACAACAAUAGGUCACUGUAUGGCCUUCAAUAAUGACCAAAACCAGAGACUACUUUAAAGUUACAUUAAAUGUAAUACAUUUGUAUAACAGUAUUAUAUAUAUAUAUAUAGUGUUGUAAUAGUCUCAGGCAAAACCCAUACAGGAUACAGCAAUUUCCCAUUACUUGUUAAAAACUUAUAUGAAAAACCCUGAUAUUAUUUUCACAGCCAAAAGUUUUGCCGUUGUAUACAUUACAUAAGAUAAGAAAUCGAGUCUUAACCCUCUUGCUGCCGAUCGUUUAUUAAGGUUGCAUUUCAUAUGCCUCAAAAUACAAUAGUUCAACGUCUAUGACGUAACAUGCCAAAUAACGACGUCAUUCAAUAUAUGAUGUCAUGACAAAAUGACAGUUACAUUUGACACCCAUCUGAGAACAACAUAACACUGUUUAAUCAUCGGUCUUUUGUUUGAAAAAAAUACAGCAUUGAUGAGAAGCUUAAAUUUAACCAUGGACAUAUGUGUCCCUCCAGCACUGCCGGUAUGGACGUAAGUGUCCCUCCGGCAGCAAGAGGGUUAAGCAAAACUAGGAGAGGACUGUAUGGUAUUUUAAGCUUGGCCUGCGUAAAACUUAGAUUUUACUGUCGCAAAUAUCCGUUUACCUAUCUCCGCUGCGAUAGGUAAAUGGACAUUUGCGACAGUAAAAUCAAGUUUUACGAAGGCCAAGCUUAAAAUACAAUACAGUUAUCUCCUUUCUAAUGCCACAUAUUAAAAUAAAUGUUAGUAUACCCCACCCGUUGCGGAGGGUAUAAUGUUUUUGACCCGUCCGUCCGUCAGUCCUGUUUCUUGUCAUCGCAACUCCUCUCAAACCACACAACAGAAUUUCACGAAACCUUUUCAGAUAAUAAGGAAAUACUAGGUUGUUGUUCAUAUCAAUGGGAAAUUGCGAUUCAAUUUUUUUUCUAAGAGUUACGCCCCUCUUAACUUAUUUACUUUAAUGUACUUCUGCAACAGUUUGUCAUCGCAACUCCUCUCAAACCACACAACAGAAUUUCACGAAACCUUUUCAGAUAAUAAGGACAUACUACAUGUAUGUAGUUGUGCAUAUCGACGGGAAAUUGCGAUUCAAUUUUUUUUCUAGGAGUUACGUCCCUUUGAACUUCAUGAAUUUAUUUGCUUUAAUAUACUACUGCAACAGUUUGUCAUCUCAACUCCUCUGAAACCACACAACAUAAUUUUAUGAAACUUUGUAGAUAAUAAGGACAUACUAUGUAGAUGUGCAUAUUGACAGAAAAUUAUGAUGCAAUUUUUUUUCUUGGAGUUACGUCCCUUUGAACAUGUUGAACUUCAUGAACUUAUUUGCUUUAAUGUACUACUGCAACAGUUUGUCAUCUCAACUCCUCUGAAACCACACAACAUAAUUUUAUGAAACUUUGUAGAUAAUAAGGACAUACUAUGCAGAUGUGCAUAUUGACAGGAAAUUAUGAUGCAAUUUUUUUUUCGGACAUAUUUUAUUUCUCCAAUGACAAUGUGGAGACGUGGGGUAUUUUAGCGUGCUCACUAAGUCUCCUUAAUUGCAAAUGAAACAACUUAGUAUCCACCAAAUUUCAAAUGAAGAGGAUGUAAACAAUUAUAGGCAACCUUUUGUCCUUUGUCACAGAGAAAAAUCCAUAUCAUAUAGUCUGCAGUAAAAGGCCCAGACAUAAAAACCAAGCUAAUCAAGCAAACUAAAGGCCUAAUUUAUAACAAAACUUUACAAUCAUGUACUAAAAACCAAUCUGACAGACAUGAACCAACGACAAACACUGAACGGCAUGCAUUUGGCUUAAGACAUGCACAUUAAGAAUGUGGCAGGGUCUGAACUGGACUUUAUUGUUAUGACAAAUUAUGAGAUACUUAAGCUUGUCGUAAAAACUUUAUCUUUAAGGCUUUCAACAUUAACUCAAUCACAGUCAGUAAAGCAGGCAAAACAUGAGUGUGUGCAAGUCUCAAGUCUUGUGUAAAAUAUAAAACAACACUAUUUUACUUUCCCUUUUUUUACUGCCAGAUAUUAGGCAGGAAACAGGUAUAUUUAUUGGCCAUAGGAAACACUGCACCUGGAAUGAAAUUCACUCUUCAAACAAUUUUUCCUUGUAGAUGUUGCAGAUAAUGCGAUUGAUACUGAAGAAAAAAAGAAAAAAGGAACUUGGAAUGUACCUUUUUCUUUGCAGCUCCUAAGGUAAAUUAUAGUGCACAGGGGCGGAUCCAGCCAUUUAAAAAAAGGGGGGGGGGAGUUCCCAACCCAGGAUAAAGGGGUUUCCAUCUAUAUGUCCCCAUUUAAAUGCAUUGAUCAUCCCAAAAAAGGGGGGAAUCUAACCCCAAGAACCCCCCUCUGGAUCCACCACUGGCACAGUACUACACUUAUAUAAAUGUUUUAUAGAAAUAAGAAGAUGUGGUAUUAUGGUAAAUGAAACAACUCUCCUUGAGAUACAGGUGAGGCCAAAAUUAACAACUAUAGUUUACCGUACACCCCUCAACAAUGAGCUAUACAAGGCCUUGAAAUUACCAAUGAGAAACUUAUGGCCUGAUUUAUUAACAAAACAUUGAACAGAAAACUGUUAUGAUAUACAGCAACAAACCACUGAAUAACAAGCUCCUGAAUUGGGACAGUCACAUGGAUUUUUUAAAACAUUAAAAUGGGAUUGCUGGCACCAAACCCUCCUAACCUAGGACAGUGGUGUAACAGUACAACUUACAAACUAUAAAAAAACGUGCAAAAGGGCUUAAUUCUAAGAUCAAUACAAAGCACAAAUUAUAAAGAAGUUCUAAAACAAAAACACUCGAAGUACACAUUUGAGAUUUAUAGCAGUUACGGUACUGAAAGCUAGUUCAAAUAAUCAAUAUUGUAUCCUUGUCCUAACACAAUGGGCUGAAUGUCUCUUAAAAGCUUACCUAGACCUACAAAUGAAUGAUUAUAGCCAUUGAUGUCAUCUGUUGUUGGAAAUUAAACAAAUAACACAUGGAUGUAGAGAAAAUUUAUGUUGCAAAAAUGAUCAACAAAUAAGUAUGCAGGGUCAAAAUUGUCAGUCAACUCCUAACUAUUUGAUAAAUUAGCCACAGAGUUUUUUGUAUGGUCUAGUUUUAAUUAUGAUUUUAUUGUAGAUCUAGGAGGUCAAUUUCCUGUGUUGAGGAGUUGGAAAGUUGGACUGAAUAUGAGGGAUAUUAAAUGAAGGUAAACAUAAAUUUAAAGUAAUGUUUAUAUUGGUAAUACCUCGAGUAUGCAUCAUAGAUUGGAUAAUAUGGUAUCCAUGUAUUUGGUAAUUUUUUUUGGAGUCAUAUAUAUGUAAUGGUAUGAUGUCGUCAGCAAUGUCCAUCGACACGUAUGGUUUCCUGAUAAUUACUUCAGUUUUAGUGAAUAGAUACCAUGAAAUUUCACCAGAAGGUUCAAUACCACAAAAGGAAGGUUGGGAUGGAUUUUUGGGGUUAUGGUACCAACAGUUUAGAAAUUAUGGACCAAAAAGAGGCCAAAAACAAGCAUUUUUGUAGUUUCCAGACAAUAACUUGUGUGUUAGUGUACGGAUCUCUUUGAAAUUGUACUACAAGGUUCCAUAUCACAAAGGAAAGGCUAGAAUUGUUUUUGGGGGUAAUUGCCUCAAUCGUUCAGGAAUUAGGGGCCAAAAACAAGCAUUUUUCUAAUUUCCAGACAAUAAUUUGUGUUUAAGUCAUAAGUGUAUAGAUCUCUCUGAAAUUGUACUGCAAGGUACCAUACCACAGAGGAAAGGCUGGGAUUAAUAAAAUUGAGAAUGGAAAUGGGGAAUGUGUCAAAGAGACAACAACCGGACCACAGAACAGUUAACAACAUUAAUUUUUGGGUAAAAUACUGAAAGGGAGUUCAAAAAAAAUUGGUGGGGGGGGGGUAUUUUUUUUUCUCGUAAGUUUUGGAUAUUUUCUUUGAAAUUUUCCAUUUUUUCAUUGAUUAUUUCUGAUUUAUGUAUAUAGAUAAAGGCAAAAUUCUGAUAUGGCAGGAGAUACACACCAAACAUGAAGCAUAAAUUAAUAUAUGAAGUAUUGUCCAAUAGAAAGAAAUCUUCAAUUGCAUAGUACUGUGCAAUAGCAAGAAAUCUUCAAUUGGGCAGUAUUAAGAAAUCUUCAAUUGAAAAUUAAUACAAAUAUUUUAACUUAUUUUAAAUUUCUUUUGAUCUUUCACCACGUUCUUUGUGUGUCAGAAACCUAUAGUAUGUCAAAAGAUUGAUUCAAUCCAAAUACAGACAGUAUAUCAAGCUUGAAUAUUGUGUUCAGGGUUGGACCUCUGUGGUCGAAUCAGGCUGCACUCGGCGAAGCAUUUUCUUAAUCAUAUUAAUCUGACACAUUCAAGUUUGUACAUUAUUGAAGUUAAUGUUGAUUUUGUGUUUUUCAGAUUAUUAUUAAAAAAAAGAACACUUUGAAGUACUAGAAGAAUUUGAAAACAACUUGGCGAAAUAGUCCCACUGGAUAUGACAGAACAUCAAGAGAAAUGGCGAAAAAAUUACACAUCUUAUGUGAUUUUCACAGGUUAUGAGCUCAGUAACAGUCUGACAAAGGAAAGAAUUUACUGAACAUGUAUUAUAGAUUCAUCUAUCUUAUGAUGUCUCUUGAUAAAUAUUAAAUCAUAUUGACUGUAAAAUGAUUACAAAUUAAAUCAUAUGGACUGUAAAAUGGUUACAAAUUCGCCAAUUAUAUCUGUUGUUCACAAAAUUUGUUAUUGGUGUUGGUUGGAAAUAUUUGUUGAAUGUUUUGAAAUUAAAAUGUGUUUAUUUAAAUGAUUGAAUCAUUGAAGUCUUUAAAUGAUACAAAAGCAAGGAUACAUGGAAUGACUGCCAAUGAGAAAACUACUUAUCCUGAAUAGUAGGGCAGUACUGUAAACAAGUCCAAGUCACCUUAAGUCUUCAACAAUGAGC
rnacentral:lncRNA from 1 species